AGGGGAUCUUUUCCCCAUUGCUUGUUUUUGAAUGAUUUAGUUUUUUAAAGCCUGUAAUUCAGAUUUUUCACAUAUUUAGAGUUUUCACUCUACUACAUGUAAAUUAGUAAGAUUUUGCUGUGUUUAUUUUGAUAUGAAGGACAGACAUUAAAUUGGAGUUUAGGUCUUCUGUGUGCACUGUUCACUGCAUUUUGUUUGUUAAAGUUACAUUUAGUGCUUAUAACAGGAUAGUCACAGAUGUGCUGAGUAGAGGAAUAGUUCUUACGGCCUAGAGAGGAUGAGCAAGAAAUAAUCUACCUGUAAUAACAUACUAAGAAACAGUGGCACUUGCCAACAAAUGAGUUACUUUAAUUUCUCAUUCUUCCUUACAUUGACUAUAUGUCUAAUCACUUUGCCUAAAAGCAUUUAGAAUCACUCUGGAAAGAAAAAUAAUGGAGAUGUUUGGCCAACAAUGUAGAGAAAAGGAAAAAGAGUACAACUCCAAUGAAAAGGGCUGAGAGGGGAGAGCUGUAGUUCAACAGAGAGGAAAAGUCAGAGGGCCUCCUCCACCCUUCCCGCAAUGCCAUGCUAGCUGUUGGACCUGCAACCCUUGCCUUCCUCUGUGCCCAGACCCACACAAACAGUGAUGAAGCUUCGCAGCCAGAGGUGGGAGAGCCACCACCAGGACAGUGCUAGCAUUGGAACUGGUCCUACUUUAAGUGUUUAUGGCAGUGGAAACUUGGUCUGUACCCAGAAGAGCCCAAGACGUUGUUUCUUGAGGGCAUACAGCUUUUAAUGACCAUUGAACAAAUGCUACAUGAUUUAGCAUUGAGACAAAUGGGAAUAUAUCAGCCUUUGUAAGGGGGUGAAGGUGGCUGACAUUUUUGCUUAUAAUCAUGGACUUAUUUGGGUAAACUACGUACUAACGGUUUACAGUUUUAACUUUAUCUUACUAGAAGGUCUAAAGGGUUUUUGGUUAUAAGCGGAAAAUGUAGAAUGUCUUAAAAAAAAAAACAAGGGGAAAUAAGAGUUUUUUUCACUCUUAGA